CUUUGAUGAUGCACUCAGUCGCUGCCUUGCAUAUUUUCCUGCCAUAUCUGGCACAUGGUUGCAUCUAUACAAAAUGUGAACGCAAGAUCUUCUAGACGAAAAUAUUCCUAAAUCGGAGUUGCACCAAUGGGUGUGUAUGGCCUGGUAUGAAUCAAGCUUCAACACGGCUGCUGUACAUCAGAAUUCGCCGAACUCGGUGGACCAUGGCCUAUUUCAGUUUAACAGUUAUUAGAAUUGCGAUCACAAAAAUGGUAAACCUGCAAAGAAUGGCUGUGGGCAUCCCUGCUCAGACUAUAAAAACACUGAUUUGACUGAUGACGUGGCUUGCCUAAAAAACUCAAGAGAGAAUAAAAAGGACGGGUUACACCAACAAUUGCCAGAGUAAAACGAGUAGUUACCUAUCGGAAUGCGGCAUUACCAGAGUAAAACGAGCAGUUACCUAUUGGAAUGCGG